rnacentral:rRNA from 1 species
CGCCCGUCGCACCUACCGAUUGAAUGAUUCGGUGAAUUCUUCGGACUGUGGUUCGGACGCUUUCGGGCGACUGAGCUGUGGGAAGUUGUUUAAACCUCAUCAUUUAGAGGAAGGUGAAGUCGUAACAAGGUUUCC